UACGUAGGGUGCGAGCGUUGUCCGGAAUUAUUGGGCGUAAAGAGCUCGUAGGCGGUUUGUCGCGUCGACUGUGAAAACUGGGGGCUUAACUCUCAGCUUGCAGUUGAUACGGGCAGACUUGAGUUCGGUAGGGGAGACUGGAAUUCCUGGUGUAGCGGUGAAAUGCGCAGAUAUCAGGAGGAACACCGGUGGCGAAGGCGGGUCUCUGGGCCGAUACUGACGCUGAGGAGCGAAAGCGUGGGAAGCGAACAGG
rnacentral:rRNA from 1 species